rnacentral:rRNA from 1 species
UACGAAGGGGGCUAGCGUUGCUCGGAAUCACUGGGCGUAAAGCGCACGUAGGCGGAUUGUUAAGUCAGGGGUGAAAUCCUGGAGCUCAACUCCAGAACUGCCUUUGAUACUGGCGAUCUUGAGUCCGGGAGAGGUGAGUGGAACUGCGAGUGUAGAGGUGAAAUUCGUAGAUAUUCGGAAGAACACCAGUGGCGAAGGCGACUGACUGGACAAGUAUUGACGCUGAGGUGCGAAAGCGUGGGGAGCAAACAGGG